rnacentral:rRNA from 1 species
AUGAUAUCGUGUUCAUCAAGAGUCAUUUCGUCAAGAAGAGAAGCAUACAUAACAACUUCAUGUAUGUGUGAAAUUUGGCUAGAAGAUUCCAUCGUACUAAGAAACCCAUGCUCCUGUUCAAACUUGACAUUAAGAAGGCCUUUGACUCAUUUAGAUGGGGCCUUUGACUCAUUUAGAUGGGACUACUUGAUGGAGAUGUUGAGUUACCAUGGCUUCCCUACCUGCUUCCAUGAUUGGAUCUCAACACUUCUCUCUUCGGCAUCCUCGAGAGUCUUGCUCAAUGGACUUGCCAGUGAUACUGAUCAAGCAUGA